rnacentral:rRNA from 1 species
GAGUUUGAUCCUGGCUCAGAUUGAACGCUGGCGGCAUGCCUUACACAUGCAAGUCGAACGGCAGCACGGAGCUUGCUCUGGUGGCGUGUGGCGAACGGGUGAGUAAUAUAUCGGAACGUACCCUAGAGUGGGGGAUAACGUAGCGAAAGUUACGCUAAUACCGCAUACGAUCUAAGGAUGAAAGUGGGGGAUCGCAAGACCUCAUGCUCGUGGAGCGGCCGAUAUCUGAUUAGCUAGUUGGUAGGGUAAAAGCCUACCAAGGCAUCGAUCAGUAGCUGGUCUGAGAGGACGACCAGCCACACUGGAACUGAGACACGGUCCAGACUCCUACGGGAGGCAGCAGUGGGGAAUUUUGGACAAUGGGCGAAAGCCUGAUCCAGCAAUGCCGCGUGAGUGAAGAAGGCCUUCGGGUUGUAAAGCUCUUUCGUCAGGGAAGAAACGGUGAGAGCUAAUAUCCCUUGCUAAUGACGGUACAUGAAGAAUAAGCACCGGCUAACUACGUGCCAGCAGCCGCGGUAAUACGUAGGGUGCAAGCGUUAAUCGGAAUUACUGGGCGUAAAGCGUGCGCAGGCGGUUUUGUAAGUCUGAUGUGAAAUCCCCGGGCUCAACCUGGGAAUUGCAUUGGAGACUGCAAGGCUAGAAUCUGGCAGAGGGGGGUAGAAUUCCACGUGUAGCAGUGAAAUGCGUAGAUAUGUGGAGGAACACCGAUGGCGAAGGCAGCCCCCUGGGUCAAGAUUGACGCUCAUGCACGAAAGCGUGGGGAGCAAACAGGAUUAGAUACCCUGGUAGUCCACGCCCUAAACGAUGUCUACUAGUUGUCGGGUCUUAAUUGACUUGGUAACGCAGCUAACGCGUGAAGUAGACCGCCUG